rnacentral:misc_RNA from 1 species
GGCAGUACUUCGACAUCCUCUCAUCAAGCAUAAUAGGUACGGCCAUAACGUUCAACCUUCCUAACCGUGACAAAUUCAGCCUUGAGAUCCGUUAGCGCAACUGGAAACCCACUCUUCUCAUCAUACUCAGCGAACUCUCCUUCACGUGGAUCAAUCUCAAAUUUAGUGCCGCUUGUAGAUUGAGCUAUCCAACCAUCACGAAACGAGAACUCAAUCGGCUCGAAUCCCCUGCAUUCAAAAACCAUCAAGUAGGUGGACUUAUGAGAUUGACUUUUCUCAAGG